AACAUUUUUAUAAGAAGCUAAAACGUGGCAAUUUAAAGAUAUAUUUUAUCACAGUAUUAAUGAAGAUAAGAUCGAUCAAUACUAACUUUGUAAAUAAGUUUAAUGAUAAUAUAAUGAAUAAAUUACAUUGAAAAAAGAAAAAAUAUUACAAAGAGAAAAAACUUAAAAGAAAAAAACUUUUAACAAACAAAGCAUUAUAAUAAUAAAACAAAAGGCUAACAAAUUAAGUGUUUAAACAGUUGACCAAUAUUUAGAUCGGCGAUUAGAAAUUAGAACUGUUUAGUAUGAGUUUACCAUACGGCACAAUCUAAAAUUGACAAUAAAUGAACUAUUUUUCAAAUAGUGUUGUAUUUUGUCUAUCGUUUCGCUAUACCGUAAGAUCGUUUGAAUCCAAAGUUAAAAAAUAUUACUACCCCUUAGAAUUGUAAACUAAGUACAAUUUAAUUGAAUAUAAUAUCGGCAAUCUACGUAUAGCUGUUGAAAAUUAUUAGUGAAGAAAUAACUCUAAUCAAAAUUAUAAUUUAUUCGAUUUUAUGGUACCUGCAUGAAUAUAUUAAAAAUCGCAUAGUAAAAUAAUCGGCGAUGUUUGUAUAUGUACGAGUAUAUUGUAUUCAUGUAAGCGAUCCACUGCUAAGUUUAUCUCACUUAUGUUUCAGAAAUUUGGUAUAUUUAAAAGUAAUCCUAUACACGAAGAUGUAUAUACUUUGAAGGUUAAAAUUGAAUAUAAUUUAGACCUGUAUUUUAUUACAUGACCAAACAACUCAACGAAUGUGUUAAAACAUGUGAAGCUUACACUUAAACGGAGUAUAAAAUAUAAAUCGGAAUAAAUCAACUUUCAUAUGUUACAUGAAAUGCUGUGCAGAAUCAGCAAGUAGUAAAAUAAGCUCAGCAUAUUGUAACGAAUACGGUUAUAUUUAAGGCGUUAUGACAUAGGCAAUUUUGCCGCUUGUAGCGAGCUGAUGUACAGUGUUUAGGUACAUAUGCGAGAGAGGAAAAUUAUUCAUUAAGUUAUGUUAGCAGUCACACGAAAUUAGUCUGAAGAAACAAAAGCAAUUAUUUUGAACAAAGAAAUAUUCAAUAAUCAUCUGACGAAAAUGUAUUAUUGAAAGUGAUUUAGACGCUUUUGAUUUUAAAUAAUAUGAUAAAGUGUAUAAAAAAUUAAUCGAUUUGGCAACAAGACUUUAUUACCUGUCCAUCAUAAUGUACAACUAUUGUUUCACUACAUUUUAUUUAGUAACCAUUUGCCAUUGAUAAAUGAUAAUGUUUAUAAUUUAUUACUUUUCGGGAUAUUUAUAAUAUCGUAAGACAAAAAAAAACAAAUCCUUCAACUGCAGAUAUGUAAAAUAACAAUUCAGCAUAAAUAACUUGUUUGAAAAUUACGAUUCGAGAUCACCGAAUUCUAUAACUCGUUUCAAGUCAGAUAUUUUCGGGCUAGUUUCUUCCGUUAUGAUAUUAAAAAAGAGUCGAUAAUUUAUUUAAAUAUAAUUAUAUAAUAUAAAUUUAAAUAUAAUUCACACCGAAAACUAAUAUUAAAUCAAUGAAAAGGGGGAUAAACUAUUUAAAAAGUUGAAGUAAUCCAACAAUUUUAAUUUUUUAUUUUAUUCGUUAAUAAUUUUGUAAUCAACUUAAGAACUAAAUUAAAUAGUU